CCUACGGGUGGCAGCAGUGGGGAAUAUUGGACAAUGGGCGAAAGCCUGAUCCAGCCAUGCCGCGUGUAUGAAGAAGGCCUUCGGGUUGUAAAGCACUUUCAGUGGGGAAGAAAGCCUUGGGGCUAAUACCCUCGAGGAAGGACAUCACCCACAGAAGAAGCACCGGCUAACUCCGUGCCAGCAGCCGCGGUAAUACGGAGGGUGCGAGCGUUAAUCGGAAUUACUGGGCGUAAAGCGCGCGUAGGCGGUCUGAUAAGCCGGUUGUAAAAGCCCCGGGCUCAACCUGGGAACGGCAUCCGGAACUGUCAGGCUAGAGUGCAGGAGAGGAAGGUAGAAUUCCCGGUGUAGCGGUGAAAUGCGUAGAGAUCGGGAGGAAUACCAGUGGCGAAGGCGGCCUUCUGGACUGACACUGACGCUGAGGUGCGAAAGCGUGGGUAGCAAACAGGAUUAGAUACCCGGGUAGUC
rnacentral:rRNA from 1 species